rnacentral:rRNA from 1 species
GAUGAACGCUAGCGACAGGCCUAACACAUGCAAGUCGAGGGGCAGCACAUGCGUAGCAAUACAAUGGUGGCGACCGGCGCACGGGUGAGUAACACGUAUGCAACCUACCUGUAAUAGGGGAAUAACCCGGAGAAAUUCGGACUAACACCGCAUAAUACCUCGAAGCUGCAUGGCUUUGAGGUUAAAUAUUUAUAGCUUACAGAUGGGCAUGCGUAACAUUAGAUAGUUGGUGAGGUAACGGCUCACCAAGUCAACGAUGUUUAGGGGUUCUGAGAGGAAGGUCCCCCACACUGGUAAUGAGACACGGACCAGACUCAUACGGGAGGCAGCAGUGAGGAAUAUUGGUCAAUGGGCGAGAGCCUGAACCAGCCAAGUCGCGUGAAGGAAGAAGGUUCUAUGGAUUGUAAACUUCUUUUGUAAGGGAAUAAAAAAGCUUACGUGUAGGCUAUUGUAUGUACUUUACGAAUAAGGAUCGGCUAACUCCGUGCCAGCCGCCGCGGUAAGAU